CGCAAACGCCCCACGCGCUAACCACCGCGGCGCCCCAAUCUCCGGCGACCUGCUCCCAUCCGCAGAUCCGCCCGUCUGAACUCCUCAUCCAUGGAUCGCCACACCAUCAACCACAGCGGCGAGGACCGCCACCGCAGCGACGGACAUCACCACCACCACAAGGCUCGGGAUUCCGUGGGGCGCCGCGAUUCGGCCGGCUGCGAGCCGCUGCCGCCGCCGCCGCUGUCACGGAAACGGAAGGACCACGACAGCGGCGAGCCCGGCCGUGAAGGGGGCAAGCGGCCUAGGGCCUUGGUGGAUCCGCCUCCGCGCAAGGAGGAAAGGCCACGGCGAGAGCGCAAGAAGCUAGAGUCAGGUGCUAAUGGAGAUCCACAGCGCGGCGCGGCGCCUAAUGGUGGUGCUCAGCCGCCGCUCAAUUCUGCACCUGCUGCUGCGGUGCCAUCUGCUUAUCCUGUUCCUUCAAAGAUGGAACUGCAAAUUCAUCCGCUGGCAGAAGUGGCAGCUUAAGUCUUGAUGCUUUAGCGAAAGCUAAAAAGGCUUUGCAACUGAAGAAGGAAUUAUCAGGAAAACUCAAGAGAUUACCUGCGUGGACUGAAUGUUCCUCAAAGACCUGCCAAGGCCCCUGUUCUCUGUCUUGAUGCUCAAGGUAGAGAAAUCGAUGAGCAUGGAAAUGUUAUCAGCAUGACCAAGCCAAGCAACCUGAGUACUCUGAAGGUCAACAUUAACAAGCAGAAGAAGGAUGCAUUCCAGAUUAUCAAACCAGGCUUGGAGUCGCUUGCAAAAUCUACCGUUCAUUUUGAUGAAAGGAUGGGCAUCAAUCCAACCAAGCUCCUUCGUCCUAAAAGGCCAGGAUUCCAGUUUAUUGAGGAAGGCAAACUUUCGAGGCAGGCUGAAUUGCAGAGGAUUAAGAAUCAAUUUGGUGAAGCACAAGCUAAAGAGCUUAAAGUAAAGCAAGCUCAUCUUGCCGAGGCAAAGGUCGAAGCUGACAUGAAUCCAAAGCUAAUUGAAAUUGCUCCUGGUGGAAGGCCUCCAAAGCAGAAGCAGAAGGAAGAGAUUCCUGAUAUUGAGCCAUGGGACUCAAAAAUCCUGAUAUCUGCCACGUACGAGGACAUCUCCUUGGAAAAGCUUAAUAUGGAUAAGAUCACCAUCUACGUGCAACAUCCAGAGCCAUUGGAACCACCGGCUAAGCCCAUGACACCACCGCCUCAGCCACUUAAGCUUACUAACAAUGAGCAGAAGAAGUAUAGAACACAGAGGCGCCUCGCUACGGAAAAAGAUAGGCAAGAAAUGAUUAGGCAAGGCCUCUUGGAGCCACCAGAUCCCAAGGUCAAGAUGAGCAACCUUAUGAAAGUACUUGGUGCACAAGCUACACAGGACCCGACACGCAUGGAGAUGGAAAUACGAGCGGCUGCUGCAGAGCGCGAGCAGGCUCACGUCGACCGCAACACUGCCCGCAAACUCACGCCAUCUGAGCGCCGCAAGAAGAAGGAGAGGAAGCUUUUUGGUGAUCCUAACGACACAUUAGACUGUACUGUUUGUGUGUACAGAAUCAGAGACCUGUCACACCGUCGCUUUAAAGUGGACGUCAAUGCCCGAGAUAACCGGCUGACUGGCGCUGCGGUGAUCACAGAUGGUGUAAGUGUUGUGGUUGUGGAAGGACGGAAGCAAUCGAUCAAGAGGUACAAUCAGCUCAUGAUGAACCGGAUUGACUGGGCUGCUGCUGCAGUUGGUGGCAAGGAUAACGCCGCUGAUGAACCAGACAGGCAGGUGAAUAGCUGCGCAUUAGUAUGGCGAGGUAGUGUGGUGAAGCCCGCCUUUCCCAGGUGGUUCGGUGUGCGUAAGUGCCUGAGUGAGGCUGCUGCCAAGAAACUGUUUGUAGAUGCUAAAGUUGCACACUACUGGGACCUGGCUGUCAACUUCUCGGAAGAUUCGUCUUGUUGAGCUCAAAUUGGUGUUCAAGACAAUGAGAGCGAUUGCUGUGGAUCACUCUACUUUGCUAUUCAUUCAAUCGUAUCAUCGUCAGACUGUUGAUCAACUGAACGCAUGAAAGAGCUGUUGGAUUUUCGCAAUAUGCUUUUAAAUAAAUCUGCUAAGCCUUCUCAAUCUGAGAGGAGAGGUUCAGGACCAUUGUCCACCCAACCCAUGGUCGGUGCCGUUUGAUCAUCUAGUACUGGUUCCCAUGUGGGUCUGUGCCUAGUUAGUAUUCAAUUUUCUUGGUUUAGCUUAAUCCUCCUCUUCGUUAGCUUGCUCGUAGGGCUGCACCAUCUGGCCCUCUCUGAAAAGGAUGAACUGGCACUCUUCCCUAUGUUACUAUAGAUUAUGAAGCACAGCCCAAAGAAUUUAAAAAACAUUCUGCUCAAACCUGUCAUAGUACUGUUUAUCACUCUGGUUAUUUCCCAUGAGUUCGGCUGGCUCAGUAUUUGUUUUGUGUACACUAGGUAAAUUAUUUGUACUGAGUAGAACAAAACAUGGGUAAAAAGAACCUUUCAUACAGUUAAUUCUGCUGGUAAGAUUUAAUCGUUUUU
rnacentral:rRNA from 1 species